UCCAUGCAGCCGUGAUGAUUUCAUAGUUCAACUGACAGCUUUGAUGUCUUACUAUUUAUGUCUUUCGCUCCUAUCUGAUGCAUGUA